GACGAACGCUGGCGGCGUGCUUAACACAUGCAAGUCGAACGGAAAGGCCUCUUUCGUGGGGUGCUCGAGUGGCGAACGGGUGAGUAACACGUGAGUAACCUGCCCUUGACUUUUUGAUAACUUCAGGAAACUGGGGCUAAUACCGGAUAGGAGCUCCUGCUGCAUGGUGGGGGGUGGAAAGUUUCGGCGGUUGGGGAUGGACUCGCGGCUUAUCAGCUUGUUGUUGGGGUAGUGGCUUACCAAGGCUUUGACGGGUAGCCGGCCUGAGAGGGUGACCGGCCACAUUGGGACUGGGAUACGGCCCAGACUCCUACGGGAGGCAGCAGUGGGGAAUAUUGCACAAUGGGCGGAAGCCUGAUGCAGCAACGCCGCGUGCGGGAUGACGGCCUUCGGGUUGUAAACCGCUUUCGCCUGUGACGAAGCGUGAGUGACGGGAAUGGGUAAAGAAGCACCGGCUAACUACGCG
rnacentral:rRNA from 1 species